rnacentral:rRNA from 1 species
GACAGUGGUUGCAAACGUUGUUCGGAAUUACUGGGCAUAAAGCGCACGUAGGCGGUCCGUUAAGUCAUGUGUGAAAUCCCCCGGCUCAACCGGGGAAUUGCGCCUGAUACUGGCGGGCUAGAGAUCGAUAGGGGUGAGUGGAACUCCAGGUGGAGCGGUGAAAUGCGUAGAUAUCUGGAGGAACGCCGGUGGCGAAAGCGACUCACUGGAUCGAUACUGACGCUGAGGUGCGAAAGCUAGGGUAGCAAACGGG